ACUUGACCUCAAAUCAGGUAGGACU
rnacentral:rRNA from 2 species